GGCAAAAUGUUAUUUGUCCUUUGGUUGGGAUCCCAUUGUAUCUCUAAAUUGCUUAUGGUAGAAUGGAAAUUUUCAUUUUGUCGAUUUUACCGAUGAAUGAACAUGGCAGAUUUUUCUAUUUUUGUGUGUCUUCUUCCAUUUCUUUAAUGUUUAUUAAUUUUCAUUGUAGACAUUUUCAUGGAUAUGAAACUGGACACCGAGUUGACGCUGAAGUUCAGCUGCUGGGUAAUCUUCCAUUUCUGGAGCCUGCUCAUCUUCCUUGUAAAACCCGGCUAGGCCUUCACCCUGGACAGGAGCAACUGGUUUCUUACCUGGAGCACACUGGAGAUCAACACAGUCUUAGCCUGGAGCCAAGACAGCUGUCGCCCAUGUUUUUGACAUGCCUGGCCGCUUCCGGUGCCGCUGUGAUUACUGGGAGGAAGAGGCGGGUCCUAGAUGGCUGGCGCUUGCGCAGUCGGCCUGGUGACUAUCAAGAGGAUGUUAUCUGGUGGUGGCGGCAUGUCGUCGGCUGCUGGAAUUGUUUGCUGAUGGCGGCGUUUUCGGCAGCGGUACUGGCCCGGAGAGUGCGGGAGUGAAGACAUUUUCAUGGAUAUGAAACUGGACACCGAGUUGAUGCUGAAGUUCAGCUGCUGGGUAAUCUUCCAUUUCUGGGGACUGCUCUGCUUUCUUGUAAAACCCAGCUGUGCCUUCACCCUGGACAGGAGCAACUG
rnacentral:lncRNA from 1 species